GCCCACAUACCGAUGCAAAAAUCAGAAAAUUUGUCCAUUCAAAAGCAGCAGUUACAGGUCUCUGCUGCCAUCAAACGCUGCCACGUUUUUAUGCAUCAUGCAUUUAUUCCAUACCACAAAAAAUUACUCGGCUAUCUUUUAUGACGUCAUUUUAUUACCUAGAAAUACACUAUAGGUAUGCUGAAUAAAAACGAAAAUUAUUUACAUAAUAA